GAUGAACGCUGGCGGCGUGCUUAACACAUGCAAGUCGAACGAGAAGUGAAGACGGACCCCUUCGGGCGGAAGGCUUUAUUUCGAGUGGCGGACGGGUGAGUAACGCGUGGGUAACCUGCCUCAUACCGGGGGAUAACCGUUGGAAACGACUGUAAAUACCGCAUAAGACCACAGCACCGCAUGGUGCGGGGGUAAAAACUCCGGUGGUAUGAGAUGGACCCGCGUUCGAUUAGCCAGUUGGCGGGGUCACGGCCCACCAAAGCGAGGAUCGAUAGCCGAUCUGAGAGGAAGACCGGCCACUUUGAGACUAAGACACAGCCCAAAAUCCUACGGGAGGCAGCAGUGGGGGAUAUUGCAAAAUGGGGGAAACCCUGAUGCAGCGACGCCGCGUGAGUGAAGAAGUAUUUCGGUAUGUAAAGCUCUAUCAGCAGGGAAGAAAAUGACGGUACCUGAGUAAGAAGCCCCGGCUAACUACGUG
rnacentral:rRNA from 1 species